CAGCACCUCAAGUGGUCAGGAUGAUUAUUGGGCCUAGAGCAUCCGUAGCCGGCGCUGUAAGUUUUCGGUUAAAUCUGUACGCUCAACGUACAGGCUGCCGGGAAUACUGCAGCGCUAGGGAGUGGGAGAGGUAGACGGUACUCGGUAGGAAGGGGUAAAAUCCUUUGAUCUAUUGAUGACCACCUGUGGCGAAGGCGGUCUACCAGAACACGUCCGACGGUGAGGGAUGAAAGCUGGGGGAGCAAACCGGAUUAGAGACCCGAGUAGUCC
rnacentral:rRNA from 1 species